GCAUUAAUGGGGUAGUGGUAACCUGGGUCGUUGCCAUGGAACUUUGCUGUGGAAACUCUAUCGACCCGCCGGGGGUUCGAUUCCCUCUUAAUGCA